rnacentral:rRNA from 1 species
GACGAACGCUGGCGGCGUGCUUAACACAUGCAAGUCGAACGGUGAAGCCCUUCGGGGUGGAUCAGUGGCGAACGGGUGAGUAACACGUGGGCAAUCUGCCGGGCCUUGGAUACAAGCCCUGGAAACGGGGUCUAAUACCGGAUAUGACCUUCCUCCGCAUGGGGGUUGGUGGAAAGCUCCGGCGGUGCAGGAUGAGCCCGCGGCCUAUCAGCUUGUUGGUGGGGUAAUGGCCUACCAAGGCGACGACGGGUAGCCGGCCUGAGAGGGCGACCGGCCACACUGGGACUGAGACACGGCCCAGACUCCUACGGGAGGCAGCAGUGGGGAAUAUUGCACAAUGGGCGAAAGCCUGAUGCAGCGACGCCGCGUGAGGGAUGACGGCCUUCGGGUUGUAAACCUCUUUCAGCAGGGAAGAAGCGCAAGUGACGGUACCUGCAGAAGAAGCACCGGCUAACUACGUGCCAGCAGCCGCGGUAAUACGUAGGGUGCGAGCGUUGUCCGGAAUUAUUGGGCGUAAAGAGCUCGUAGGCGGCCUGUCGCGUCGGAUGUGAAAGCCCGGGGCUUAACCCCGGGUCUGCAUUCGAUACGGGCAGGCUAGAGUGUGGUAGGGGAGAUCGGAAUUCCUGGUGUAGCGGUGAAAUGCGCAGAUAUCAGGAGGCCGGUUAGCUCCGGUGGCGAAGGCGGAUCUCUGGGCCAUUACUGACGCUGAGGAGCGAAAGCGUGGGGAGCGAACAGGAUUAGAUACCCUGGUAGUCCACGCCGUAAACGUUGGGAACUAGGUGUUGGCGACAUUCCACGUCGUCGGUGCCGCAGCUAACGCAUUAAGUUCCCCGCCUGGGGAGUAC